rnacentral:rRNA from 1 species
UUAAGAAGUAGUAGAACUGUGAUCCUGCAGGUCGAACGGUGCAAGCACCAACAUUGCUCUGUGGAUCAGUGGCGAACGGGUGAGUAACACGUGAGCAAUCUGCCCCUGACUCUGGGAUAAGCGCUGGAAACGGCGUCUAAUACCGGAUACGAGCUGCGACCGCAUGGUCAGUAGCUGGAAAGAAUUUCGGUCAGGGAUGAGCUCGCGGCCUAUCAGCUUGUUGGUGAGGUAAUGGCUCACCAAGGCGUCGACGGGUAGCCGGCCUGAGAGGGUGACCGGCCACACUGGGACUGAGACACGGCCCAGACUCCUACGGGAGGCAGCAGUGGGGAAUAUUGCACAAUGGGCGAAAGCCUGAUGCAGCAACGCCGCGUGAGGGAUGACGGCCUUCGGGUUGUAAACCUCUUUUAGCAGGGAAGAAGCGAAAGUGACGGUACCUGCAGAAAAAGCGCCGGCUAACUACGUGCCAGCAGCCGCGGUAAUACGUAGGGCGCAAGCGUUAUCCGGAAUUAUUGGGCGUAAAGAGCUCGUAGGCGGUCUGUCGCGUCUGCUGUGAAAACCCGAGGCUCAACCUCGGGCCUGCAGUGGGUACGGGCAGACUAGAGUGCGGUAGGGGAGAUUGGAAUUCCUGGUGUAGCGGUGGAAUGCGCAGAUAUCAGGAGGAACACCGAUGGCGAAGGCAGAUCUCUGGGCCGUAACUGACGCUGAGGAGCGAAAGGGUGGGGAGCAAACAGGCUUAGAUACCCUGGUAGUCCACCCCGUAAACGUUGGGAACUAGUUGUGGGGUCCAUUCCACGGAUUCCGUGACGCAGCUAACGCAUUAAGUUUCCCCGCCUGGGGGAGUACGGCCGCAAGGCUAAAACUCAAAGGAAUUGACGGGGACCCGCACAAGCGGCGGAGCAUGCGGAUUAAUUCGAUGCAACGCGAAGAACCUUACCAAGGCUUGACAUAUAGAGGAAACGUCUGGAAACAGUCGCCCCGCAAGGUCUCUAUACAGGUGGUGCAUGGUUGUCGUCAGCUCGUGUCGUGAGAUGUUGGGUUAAGUCCCGCAACGAGCGCAACCCUCGUUCUAUGUUGCCAGCACGUAAUGGUGGGAACUCAUGGGAUACUGCCGGGGUCAACUCGGAGGAAGGUGGGGAUGACGUCAAAUCAUCAUGCCCCUUAUGUCUUGGGCUUCACGCAUGCUACAAUGGCCGGUACAAAGGGCUGCAAUACCGUGAGGUGGAGCGAAUCCCAAAAAGCCGGUCCCAGUUCGGAUUGAGGUCUGCAACUAGACCUCAUGAAGUCGGAGUCGCUAGUAAUCGCAGAUCAGCAACGCUGCGGUGAAUACGUUCCCGGGU